rnacentral:rRNA from 1 species
GAUGAACGCUGGCGGCGUGCCUAAUACAUGCAAGUCGAGCGAACAGACGAGGAUCUUGCUCCUCUGACGUUAGCGGCGGACGGGUGAGUCACACGUGGAUAACCUAUCUAUAAGACUGGGAUAACUUCGGGAAACCGGAGCUAAUACCGGAUAAUAUAUUGAACCGCAUGGUUCAAUAGUGAACGACGGUUUUGCUGUCCCUUAUAGAUGGUUCCGCGCCGCAUUAGCUAGUUGGUAAGGUAACGGCUUACCAAGGCGACGAUGCGUAGCCGACCUGAGAGGGUGAUCGGCCACACUGGAACUGAGACACGGUCCAGACUCCUACGGGAGGCAGCAGUAGGGAAUCUUCCGCAAUGGGCGAAAGCCUGACGGAGCAACGCCGCGUGAGUGAUGAAGGUCUUCGGGUCGUAAAACUCUGUUAUUGGGGAAGAACAAAUGUGUAAGUAACUAUGCACGGCUUGACGGUACCUAAACAGAAAGCCACGGCUAACUACGUG